GCCUUCGUGGUGUAGUGAUUAGCACGCUCGACGUGUAACCGAGAGGUCCGUGGUUUGAUUCCCGGCGAAGACG
rnacentral:tRNA from 1 species